rnacentral:rRNA from 1 species
UACGUAGGUGGCAAGCGUUGUCCGGAUUUACUGGGCGUAAAGCGCGUGUAGGCGGCUUUGCAAGUCGGGUGUGAAAGCCCUCAGCUCAACUGAGGAAGUGCGCCCGAAACUGCCGAGCUUGAGUACCGGAGAGGAUGGUGGAAUUCCCCAAGUAGAGGUGAAAUUCGUAGAUAUGGGGAGGAACACCGGUGGCGAAGGCGACCAUCUGGACGGAUACUGACGCUGAGACGCGAAAGCGUGGGUAGCAAACAGG